CAACACUACAUUUGUUGCUCCAGGAAUCCGAGACUUUGGUCUGUCGCCCAUUCACAUGAUACAUGGUAUAGGAAAAAAAUGGUGUUCACAUACACAAGAGAGAUUUAGACGGCACGGAAAAUAAAGGCACCAAGUUUCACAGAAUUGGUUGUUCUCGCAAGUUUGUUUGUUCAGUACAUUCAUGUGAAACUUAUAUUGAUAAACUUAUUAAUGACAUGCAGUGCAGAACUGUGGAAUAAUAAAUCUAAAAGGAAAAUAAUUUGGCAUGUUACGAUAUUUGUCACAACUGGGCUGAAAAUGAGCCAUUAUUUGCAGUUCCGUGAGCAUCUAAGCAAAUUAAGUUACUACUGUCAGACUGUAUCUCUGAAUAACAGUGAGUAGCUGAUGUAUUCAUGUUGAUCACUUAAUCGGACCUACCUUUGUGGCCAAUUAGGUCGUGAGUUGGAUCCAUGAUAGCUUCACCAGCAUGCAUUUCAUCGGUUACCACUUCAAUCACCUCUUUCUUGAAGAUUUCUGCAUGCAAUGUUUCUACUCUCUAGAAACACUCUAUUUUAGUACGGGUGUCAGGUGGAUUGACAAGUCCCUUCGUAGAAAUUUAAUGGCGAAUAAACCUGAAUGUGACAGUAGGUCUUAGCACACUUGAAGAAUUUUCAAGCAUCAUCAGGAGCAUUUUAAGUCAAAUUCAUGGUCAGGAUAUAAGAUGUCUAAAAUAAUACACUUUUCCAAAAUAUUGCCAGACGCCUUGUUGUGGGAACUCUUGUUACAGAUUGAAGAAAUUAAUGUUGAAGCAAUAAUGAGAGCUUUUCUAACCUGAGAAGCCCUUCAACAUCAGAAGGGGCCUCGCAGUAUGAGGGGCAUCAAGAGGGAGUGGCCCAUUUUUUGAUUAAUUUGUGCUACAUAGCUGUCACAUGAGGGGGAGAGAGAUGUAAUAGAAACUGAAUGAAAGUAGCAAAUGAGCAUGAUGCGGGCUCUUGCAUUUUAUUAGAAUCUGGGUUAGUGCAUAAAAUGGUCAACCGUAGAGAUAGUAGUGCAAUCCGAGUCUCUCAGAUAGUAGCGGUGAAAGCUGACUACUUAGAUAAUCCUACUUGCCACCACAUCCUUAUAUAAGCUAGUGUUACAAAAAAUGGCAAAUCAGAGCUAACAAAGGGCAUACUCGAUCAUAAUGUAGUGCCACUUUCUAUAUCCCCUCGCUCAUAGUUAUUAAAAGGCUUUCGACAGUUGAUCCUGGCUCCACUUUUACUCUAGCUUAUCAUUGUCGAACAAUACAAGACUUUUAUAUGCAGGUGGUUCUUGCCUACUUUCAUAGUUUUGUAUAUCUAAAUGCCUAAAUCUACCACGACACGGUCAACAAACAGAAUUUGCAAGUAUUAUUCUACAGUUAGUUAGCACAUGGUUUUCAAUAAAAAAUGCAGGCAACAGUGCAAUUAGGAUCUAAUUCAGGCAGGUAGUGAGAAGAUUUCCAUAGCAAAUUGAACAAGUAGCAGGAAGAAACAAACAAAAUGUAAAUAAAGAAUAGCUAACCUUCAGUACAUGAUUUUCCU
rnacentral:lncRNA from 1 species